UCGAAAAUGUAAGAUUUAUAUUUUUUCCAUUCUUAGGUGGAUGCUUUGACACCAAACCGUGAUUAUGAAAGUGGACAGGUUAUUAACAGAGUGGUAGCCCAGUUUCUUGUUGAGUUAGAUGGUGGAGAACAGCCCAAAGGUGUUUUCGUGAUCGGUGCAACAAAUAGUUUGCAGAAAAGACGCAAUAGACGGUAGUCUCAUACGGCCUGGUAGAUUUGGUCAAGAACUUGAGGUUCCUCUUCCAAGCCCAUACGACCGUGUUAAAAUAUUGAAAACUCUUGCAAAGGAU